UACGUAGGGUCCGAGCGUUGUCCGGAGUUACUGGGCGUAAAGCGCGCGCAGGCGGCGUGGCUGGCCCGGCGUGAAAGCCCCCGGCUCAACCGGGGAGGGUCGUCGGGGACCGCACCGCUUGAGGGCGGUAGGGGCUGGUGGAAUGCCUGGUGUAGUGGUGAAAUGCGUAGAGAUCAGGCGGAACACCCGUGGCGAAGGCGGCCAGCUGGGCCGUCCCUGACGCUGAGGCGCGAAGGCGUGGGGAGCGAACGGG
rnacentral:rRNA from 1 species